GCCCGAGUGGCGGAAUGGCAGACGCGGUGGUCUCAAAAACCUCUGUCCAAAAGACGUGUGAGUUCGAAUCUCACCUCGGGCACCA
rnacentral:tRNA from 1 species